AGAGUUUGAUCCUGGCUCAGAACGAACGCUGGCGGCGUGCCUAACACAUGCAAGUCGAGCGAGAAAGCCCGCAAGGGUGAGUAAAGCGGCGCACGGGUGAGUAACACGUGGGUAAUCUGCCCUGGAGUCCGGAAUAACUCGCCGAAAGGCGCGCUAAUGCCGGAUAAGACCACGGGAGCCUCGGCUCCUGAGGGAAAAGGUGGCCUCUGUACACAAGCUAUCUCUCCAGGAUGAGCCCGCGUCCCAUCAGCUCGUUGGCGGGGUAAUGGCCCACCAAGGCUACGACGGGUAGCUGGUCUGAGAGGACGAUCAGCCACACUGGAACUGAGACACGGUCCAGACUCCUACGGGAGGCAGCAGUGGGGAAUCUUGCGCAAUGGGCGAAAGCCUGACGCAGCAACGCCGCGUGUGUGAUGAAGGUCUUCGGAUCGUAAAGCACUGUCGCGAGGGACGGAUAAGUCUUCGGCUAACAUCCGGGGACGAUGACGGUACCUCGAGAGGAAGCACCGGCUAACUCUGUGCCAGCAGCCGCGGUAAUACAGAGGGUGCAAGCGUUGUUCGGAAUUAUUGGGCGUAAAGCGCGUGUAGGCGGUCUGCCAAGUCGGGUGUGAAAGCCCUCGGCUUAACCGAGGAAGUGCGCCCGAAACUAGCAGACUUGAGUACCGGAGAGGGUGGCGGAAUUCCCGGUGUAGAGGUGAAAUUCGUAGAUAACGGGAGGAACACCAGCGGCGAAGGCGGCCACCUGGACGGAUACUGACGCUGAGACGCGAAAGCGUGGGUAACAAACAGGAUUAGAUACCCUGGUAGUCCACGCUGUAAACGAUGAGCGCUAGGUGUUGUGGGUGUUGACCCCCGCAGUGCCGCAGCUAACGCAUUAAGCGCUCCGCCUGGGAAGUACGGCCGCAAGGCUAAAACUCAAAGGAAUUGACGGGGGCCCGCACAAGCGGUGGAGCAUGUGGUUUAAUUCGACGACGCGCAGAACCUUACCUGGUCUUGACAUCCUCGGAAUCCUUCAGAGAUGAGGGGGUGCCCGCAAGGGAACCGAGAGACAGGUGCUGCAUGGCUGUCGUCAGCUCGUGUCGUGAGAUGUUGGGUUAAGUCCCGCAACGAGCGCAACCCUUGUCAUUAGUUGCUACGAAAGGGCACUCUAAUGAGACUGCCGGUGACAAACCGGAGGAAGGUGGGGAUGACGUCAGGUCCUCAUGGCCCUUAUGGGUAGGGCUACACAC
rnacentral:rRNA from 1 species